UAUUUUUUGAAAACAAAAAAAAUGAAUUUUCAACAAUUUUCAGAACUUCGUCUCAAUGAAUCAAACAUUGAAAUGUAGAUGUAUGUUUAAAUCAAUGAUUCAAUGAUAUUUUUAAUAUUUCAGAAAAUGGUAGAUGUUGAUGUUGUUUACGAUUAUGAAUUAUACAGACUGAUGAAUGUCAAAAGAAGGAGACAUUCUGACAGAACAGAUCCUAGAGAAACUAUGCCAGCAGCAGAAAUUUUGAGACAAUUUCGUUUAACUCGCCUCGAAUUGACAUAAUAGUGGAUCAGGGGAGACAUUGAACAUGACAGUGAAAGGGGAAACACCCUCACUCCAACUCAGCAAGUCUGCAUAGCCCUUCAUCAUUUUGGAAGCCAGCCUUUUCAAAGAAGUGGAGCCUUAUCCUUUAAAUGCAGCCAGUCUGCAUAUGGAAAAGCUGUGGACAGAGUAACAAAUGCCCUUCUCCGACACAAAGCUGACUGGAUCUUUAUGCCAUCAUACCAGGAAUGCCUAGAAGCAUCCCAAGAAGUGGAGGAUAGAUUUGGUCUGCCUAACUUUGCUUAUGGCAUUGAAUGAAUGCAUGUCAGAUUUGAGGAUGUCCCCCGAAAUCUUCCUUUAGGCCACGAUCCUCAGCAGUAUCACUGCCGUAAACUUUUCUACAGCAUAAAUGUUCAGGUAUGAUCAAUCAA